CACAUCACGCUGAAAUACCGGUUCCCGUACGAGCAUCAAAGUUAAGCAACGUCAAGCCUGGUCAGUACCUAGAUGAGUGGCCAUUUGGGAAUACCAGCUGGUGUAAG